rnacentral:rRNA from 1 species
CACGUAGGGGCCAAGCGUUGUCCGGAUUUCUUGGGCGUAAAGAGCUCGUAGGCGGUUCGGUAAGUCGGGUGUGAAACCUCCAGGCUCAACCUGGAGACGCCACCCGAUACUGCUGUGACUCGAGUCCGGUAGGGGAGCGUGGAAUUCCUGGUGUAGCGGUGAAAUGCGCAGAUAUCAGGAGGAACACCAGCGGCGAAGGCGGCGCUCUGGGCCGGAACUGACGCUGAGGAGCGAAAGCGUGGGUAGCAAACAGG